AGCUUUUGAAUUGGAUUGAAUUAGGAAUGAUUUAAAUAAUAGUCCGAUCGAGCCAAAAGUAAAUAUCGGAAACCGUCUAAAUCACCCAAAACCAAAGAAAAUCGGGUAAAAUCUAUAGCUAAAUCGGACCGGACCAUAAUUAGACCGACUCAACCUUUUUAGCCUAUCAGAGCAGGAGAGAGAAAACAAAAAUUUUCAUCUUCUUUCUCCUUCACCGAUCGGCAACAGCUCUCCCUCCAUCUCUUUAAUUUUCCGGCCAAAACUCCACGGAAUCCGGCAAGUGAGGACUCUAUGAUGAUCUACGCUUCGUAACGAUUUAGAUUCGAGCAUCGGUUUGCGUUGUUCGAGCUUCGUUCGCGAGAUAUCAAGGUCGAAAGGUUGCGCACCGCUGCGAUUCCGUUUUUCGGCGACACACGCCGUUUCCAGCAAACCCAAGGCCCGAGUUGGAUUCUCCGACCAAAUGCGCACGGCAGCCGGAGGCGGCUGUUUGGUGACAUGCCGGCGAUGAUCCGGAGACAGAAUCUUCUCCUCUUCAUGCUGAUUCCGAAUAUGCAACCCGGUUUUUAAUUGGAUUCCUAAGAUGAAAUGGCCAAGGGUACAGUCAGGUCGCUGGGGUUGGCGAUUGCCUUGCAAGUGGUGGAUACCAAACUGAAUAUUGGGUUUGCAAGAGGCACAGGUUAGAGCCCCUGUCAGGUCGCUGAACCUAAUAUGAUAGAUGUGUAAGAAGUUUGCAAGCGGUGGGGUUAGAGUCCCUGUCAGGUCACUGGACUUCUGAUGCUAUGGAUGAUACGGAGGAUUCCUGCCGACUAUGACCAUCCAUUGUAUGAUUAGCUGCUAUUGGUUGAUUAUGUGUGAUGUGCCAAUGUAUGGACGGAAGUGUGCUCAUAAGAUAGAAUUUUAUAGCUAGAACUCCUCAUUUCGCAUGACUGUGUGUGGGGAGAGAGAGUUAUCUACCUCUACUGACCGAGUUGAGGUGCUCACCCCUUUCUCAAUUAUUUUUUUUUCCAUGUUGCAAACUUAACCUUAUAGCCAGCUGUUGUGCUAUUUAAAGAUUGAGGAGCUUGAGGUUAAUUGAAGUAUUUACAGUCUCACUAUAUAGGUAACUAGUUCCGCGAUUGACUUAUAUGUAUAUAUUGGAAAUUUUUGUUAAUAAUUGUAAUCAUAGUCUAAUAUUUAUGUUAUGUAACAAUGAGGGUCCAGUAUGAUAUUUAUAUGAAUUAUUUAUUGAAAUGAGAUGGGCCGGUGAGCCUGGAAUGAGUUGAGGUGAUGA